ACGCCUGCACGGGUCCUCAUAUACUCCCCAUAUUCAAGCCCUGACUUCCUCGUCAGGCUAAGGGUUCAAAUCUAUUCAAAUCUAAUCACAAAUACCAUGAUGGGUCCGUGGUCAGCCCCAAUGGAUCCGUGCUGCAGUGUCCCCUAGUCCACAUAGGUUAUGAGCCGGAUCUGCUCUGAUACUACUUGUAACAACCCAGGACCUCACCCAAAAUAGC
rnacentral:lncRNA from 1 species